AAGCUUUAAGACCCGGGGUGGAAUGAAACAAAAGAGGAAGGAGUCCAGGGGUGUUUUAGCGUAAUCAUGCUGGCUCAUGCCGCUGAAGGAACAGCUGGGAUUGAGAACUCACUGCUGUGAGGAAACUUGCAAUUGUAUUCCCAUCCCACAGUCACCAGUGGACAGCAGAGCUACCCAUGACAUUCUGGAUGAAAACCUCUGUACUAGAGAAUUAUUCCUUGAUAUCUAUUUAUGGAGAAUUGCUUGUGGGACACCUGUGGAUACCAAAAUUAGUGGAUGCUCAAGUCCAGUAGAAGAAAUGGAGUACUAUUUCCAUAUAAUCUAUGCAUACCAGCAGGUCUACCUCCCACCAAGCGAUCAGCCUCCGUUCUGCUGACUCCAACAGGGUGCACCCUUUCUCUAAUUAACUAAAAUGGCUAUGGAAAGCAAAGGAGGCCUUGUGUUGGGUGAACCAAUUAUUUUGAAGGGUAUUAAGUCAUCAGAUUUACUUUUAUCUUGAUUGCAUUGUGGAAAUCGUGCAUAAUUAAUGGUGGGAGCUUAUUAGGAAAAUGAUUAGGCAAAUUACACAGGUGUCGGAUGCAUUUUUUAUGAUAAAUUUGCUAGAACAAUCCUGCAAUUCCAUCUGUUCAGCUCACAUCAGAAUGUCACUCUGAAGAAAUUAAUGGUGCAGAGUUAUACAAAGUUACUACAAGCUUUGGUUGCAGAUUUAGGGGAUGGCUUUGCCAGGAAAAGCCCUUCAAUAGCAGCCUGGCCAAAGAUUCUGGGCAAAUAAGUUGGCUGGGUCCAUGGGCAAUCAAGAUUCUGGGACCUGCAAUCAAACUUGCUGCUGGCGUUUGUAAGUGUGCCUUCUACCAGGGGCUAUGGGCUGGCUGUGAGAUACACAGGUAGGUUGUUGAGAGACCUCUUCCCCUUUUCUUAGUUGUCCUACCUUCAAUCAAUCUAGCCAUGCAAAUUCCCAUAGUGAUUUGCGUGAAGCACACCAGAAGUAGCCCCCUUGGGCCUCAUUCUUAAAUUUGGGGUAAGUUGGAUCCUCACUUUGCACUUUUUUUUUUCUCCAUGGAAGAAAUUGUGGGCCAGUGGGAUCCCUCUUGGCACUGUGCUUUUGUCAGCUUGUGGGAGAGAUGGUUUCGGUAAAGUGGAACUGGUGUUCUUACCCUUUUUAAUAAAUCUUUUAUCCUUUCUGUGCCCCACCUGGGUGUUUUAACCUCUAAUCUGAAUUCUAGAGACCUCAUGAAGGUAUUUUUCCCAUGAAUAGUUGUUAAAUAAGUCUUUCUGUGAGUGAUAAAGGCUGAGGCCGCCUAUCCUACCAUCUUUAUGACCUCUUUCCCAUUUUUUAAAUCAAAGCUUAUGCCGAUUUCUUAACAACAAAGAUUGGAAGUUAAUACUCUUUUCCUGUGUAUGUGUGUGGGAUGUACAUAAACAACUAAUAAUGCUUCACUAAAUUUUUUAGAUUGCUGCAGAUUUUUUUUACUACAAAAUAUUCAGAACAGUCUAAAAUGCUGUAAAUUUGAAAGUGGAUGAAUCCAUUUUUAAAUGAUAUUUCUAUUUUCUUUCUAAAAUUUCAAAAAAUAAUAUCUUCCAAUAUUAGUACGGUGUACUUAAACAAGAUAGAACUAAAUUGUGUAGGAUAAAUUUACCAACUGAGGAGCACCUUUGACAAAAUAGUGCCUGAACAAGCUAUGUAUUGAUCUGGAGGUGUCCCAGUGCCAUAGCUGAAAGUCAGGCUUACCAAUCGACGGAAAAUGGGAAAUCUGGAAAGCAUCUAAUUCAUUGUGCAACUUUUUCUCAGUUAACCAUAUAUCCAAGGCAAACACUUGCUUCUAUUUCCUCAAAAUAGACAAGGCAAUAUGCCUGGUUGGGUUUAGUCUAAACUUAAUACUACACUUAAUUUAAUGAAUAAAUUAAGCAUGAAGAGAAGAUGAUCUCACAAUUCAAAAGCUCUAGACAUAACACUAUUUUUUACAUGUAAGAAGUGGAUUUUUUAUGUCAUUGAGGUCUUUUUUAAUAUGAAACUUGUCUGCUUUCUUAAAGUAGGAUAUGAAAGGGGGGCACAUUUUUAUGGAAGUUUUUUUUUCCUUCCAGAGAUCUGAAAGAAAUUUUGAUUAUCCAUUUUAUUCAGCAUAUUAUUAUCAAAGUAGAGUACAAAAUUAAUGUUUCCUUAUAAUUUUGCUAGUAUUUUAUAGCAUAAUUGUAAAAAUUUUAUUACUUCUAUAUAUUUUCCUAGCCAUAGUGCCAUGUUUUGGAUCCAGUCAGCUUAUCUUAUUCAAAACUGAUUAUAACUAUAAUAAUCAUAAUAAAUUUGGGUCUUUCUAAGGUUUUAAAGAUUCUUUACAAGCCAUGAAAAUAUGUCAUAAGUGCUAAUAAAGUGAAUCAUAAGUACUUUAUUGACUUUUUAAAUAUGUCAGAAUGCAUAAAAUGCUAAACAUAUUUAAAUGUAAACUUAUUUGCAAUGAUUUUCUUUUUCUGCCAACAAUGUAACUUUGGAAAAUCAAACAUUCUCCCUACUACAACAGUGAUAAUUCACAAAAAAGCCUGAUAUCAUCUCCAAUUCAAAGAACUCAACUGUGUUGUUUCAUCACUGACGAAAACUACAUAUUUGCAUAUAAAAAAAUGCUUCAUGGAAAAUAUAAUUUCUCUUGAGAUUUCAG
rnacentral:lncRNA from 1 species